CAUUGAUCCGCUACGUUGCAGAGAACAGCCAGCAGAGGCGGCGGCAGCCGGGUUCAUCUAAGGUAAGGCGAGGGGCGGUCCUGUUGCAAAGGAGGAGCCUGCGAGGCGAGCAAAUCUCUCGCAGGCUGGCUGAUGAAUGUGACCGCGCUGGGUGCGUGUGUGUACUUCUUGGCAGGGAGACAAGAGCGGGGAGGGGAGGGGAGAGGACCGCAGUGCGUAACCCCCGGAUGGUGGAUGGAUGCGCCCCGCCUGUGGGGUGGGAGGCUGGGGGGAGCUUCCUUCCUGCCUGCUCUGCCCAGCCUCGCCUAGUAACAGUGCCCCCCCGUCGCCCCCUCCCAGGCACUGCCUUGCUCACUCACCUCCCUCCUUCUUCUCCUGUGACAAUGCAUCAACGUUCCAGCAUUUCACAGAGGAAAAGAGAGCCAAGCAGCUCUGCUUGUAACAGAAGGAGAUAAGGAGAGGCCAAAGGAACAUCUCGUUCAGCGCCUUGUUCUCCCUGAGGCCAACCAGAUGCCCCACGUGCGAAGCUGGCAAGCGGGACCCGAGAGUGCAAGAGAGCUCCCUUCCCUCGCGAUUCCCAGCCAAGGGAAUCCAGAGGUAUCUCUGUAGCCACCGAGAGCGUUAUUCACCAUCGAUUUGCCUAAUUCUCUUCUACAGUAAAGCCAUCCAAGUUGGUGGUGUUCACUGCUCUCCGUGGGAGCAAAUUUCAGAGUUUAACUAUGCACAGGGUGAAGAAGAACUUUCUGGUGGCCUGUCCUGAACUGGCCCCCUGGUCAGUUCUGUGACCGCUGUCCUGGGGCACAAUUAUUUAGGGUACGCCAAGGUGCAUCUGUAGCACAAAACUGGGCACCUUCAUCUGCCCCGGCUGCAACAAAACGUCUCUCCCACGUCGGUCUCUACAGCCCCAGCAGGAGCUGCAACCUUCCCACAAAGGCACAUUCCUUCAUUUCCUCCUGAAACAACAAGACUCUUAUGCCCUCACUGAGGUAGAGAGAGAGCGACACCACCUCCCGUUUGCCCUUCCCUGUCCUUCCUAUAAAGUUUGUCCCCAUAUACCACCAAUUCUCUCCAUUCCUCCAUGUUUCUGUUAUGCCCACUAUAGCUAUGUUGUCCUCUAAUCCCAAACACUCUAGACAGGUGCUCAGCUAAAAGUUUAUGCUUUGCGUUGAGUACUAUAUAAAACAAGGUAAAAGCUUGUUAAUGUGUUUUUUAAAGUUUUGAAAAAACUUUAGCCCAAGAGGCUAAACUGUCCUGACCCUUUCAAACUCCUGCUUUCUGGCAUUUGAGCCGCACACCCUGCUAUGAUUGGCUGCAGUCACAGCUGGGAAAAGCUAGCCAGGCAUAUAAAUUUAGAGCAACCAAGUGAAGGUGCUUUGGCUUUCUAAGUCUCAAGCUAACAGGCAAGUUCAGCAGCAGGCAAAGCUGGGGCUGACUCUUCUGCCCCUCUGCCCAUUGACCGAAUAAACCCCAAGCUUCCACAUUAAAUAAACCAAUAAAAGCCAGCCAGGGUGUGGGGUGUUUUCCAGUGUCUUGCUCAUUUUGCCACAUGUAUGACAACUGCCUAUAAAUUGUGGGCAUGUGCUCGGAUCCUCACCCUGAUCCAGGAGCCAGGCCAGCUCACCUUUCCCACACCUUGCAAAAGGUCCUCUCUCUGCCUGUUGUGUGUUCUGUUCAUGAUGGCUGCAUAAACACAGUGGGAUGUAGCCAAUCCUAGUCAUACUCUGACACAUUGGAAUUAAUGGACACGACUUAGGGCCAUUCAUUCCAAUGGGGCUGCUCUGAGCCACAGAAUCCUGGUAACAGUUGUUUACCCCUCACAGAGCUACAAUCCCCAGCAUGCCUAACAUGCCACAGUUACCAGAAUUCUUUGGGUGAAAGCAAUGUGUUUUAAAUGUAUGGUGUGCGCACAGCCUGACUCUGCAUGGGAGCUGCAACAAAGUGUUGCAGUAUAUCAUCACCAGUUCAGGGCUACAGCUUUGCAGCCAUGACCUCUUCUAUCCCAUUCGGUUCCCAUUUUCCCCAUUUUCAUCCUCCCUCACAAUUUAAGAAGGAUGUUGACAAGCUUGAAGAUGUGCAGAGGAGGAGGACCAAGAUGAUCAAAGGUCUGGAAACCAAGCCUGAAGAGGAGUGGUUGAAGAAGCCUGGGGAAUAGAAGACUGAGAGGAGAUAUGAUGGCCUUCUUCUUCUUCUUUUAAAUUUUAUUUAUACUUUUCAGAUAUACGUAUACAUUUCACUGACUGUGCAAUAAUUUUAACAUUUUAAAACUUGACUUUCUUCCCUCUAUUUCUGCAGUUCCUUAAAUUUAUUUUUAAUAUCUUCUGCAUAUCCAGAUUAACUUACUCAUUUAUUUAUCUUCUUUAAAUAGAUACACUUAUACACCUGCAGGUUAUUACAAUAAUCCUGCCAGUGUUUUUAUCUGUUUACAAUUUAUCUGCAAAUAUUCAAUAAAUCUGAGAAGAGAAGACUCCCUGGAAAAGACCCUGAUGUUGGGAAAGAUGGAGGGCACAAGGAGAAG